rnacentral:rRNA from 1 species
AUUGAACGCUGGCGGCAUGCCUUACACAUGCAAGUCGAACGGCAGCACGGGAGCUUGCUCCUGGUGGCGAGUGGCGAACGGGUGAGUAAUACAUCGGAACGUACCCUGAAGUGGAGGAUAACGUAGCGAAAGUUACGCUAAUACCGCAUAUUCUGUGAGCAGGAAAGAGGGGGAUCGCAAGACCUCUUGCUUUAGGAGCGGCCGAUGUCGGAUUAGCUAGUUGGUGAGGUAAAGGCUCACCAAGGCGACGAUCCGUAGCGGGUCUGAGAGGAUGGUCCGCCACACUGGGACUGAGACACGGCCCAGACUCCUACGGGAGGCAGCAGUGGGGAAUUUUGGACAAUGGGCGCAAGCCUGAUCCAGCCAUGCCGCGUGAGUGAAGAAGGCC